UACGGAGGAUGCAAGCGUUAUCCGGAAUUAUUGGGCGUAAAGCGUCCGCAGGUGGUUUAUCAAGUCUGCUGUCAAAGCGCGAGGCUUAACUUCGUAAAGGCAGUGGAAACUGAUAGACUGGAGUGCGGUAGGGGCAGAGGGAAUUCCCAGUGUAGCGGUGAAAUGCGUAGAUAUUGGGAAGAACACCGGUGGCGAAGGCGGCUUCCUGGCCAAGUACUGACGCUGAGGCACGAAAGCGUGGGGAGCGAACGGG
rnacentral:rRNA from 1 species